GGGCUGCUAAUAGGGGGGGCGGCAGUGAACAGGACACGAAGGUUCAGUAAUCCCUUGUUUAAGAACUGAACCUACUGCUCUCAGCGACUCCUUAAAUAUGAUAAAUAGUUCUGUCCUGCAGUCCAAGCUCACUUGAUGGCAGUAUUGCACCCUUAAACUAGUCUGCCUGCCGCCGAUGGACAGAAGAAGAAGAAGAAGAAGACGAAGAACCACAAGAUGGUGGCUACUUGAAGGCCCCUUUACUGCAGCUGUCUGUGGGCUGCAGCUCCCGCUUAAAAAGGAGACAAAGACAUGCAGCAGCUUUGGCUUCCGGUCCGAGAAAACAUGGUGCUUGGUAGGAAACCCCAGAGAGAGGAGCUCUGUUG